GCCCUGGCGACUAUAGAGAACGAAGGGAAAUGGAGACAGACAACAGAUAUUGAUUCCGUAUGUUAGGAUUUCCUUUGGAAUUUCCUCAAAGGGCAACUUUGUCGGUCCACCGAUAAUUAAACUGACUAUUUUCAUGAAGGUGCUGAGAAAUACUACACAUUUUUACUCAGAUGAAUGUUCAGCUGAACUCAUGGAAACUUUUUCUUUAGACCCAGUACUGUAGAGAGGAUACCACUUAUGGUUGAUGGAGGUGGAGGAACAGUUACAACUGUGGCUGAAGUAGGUGGAGGAGCUGGAAGUGUUCCUGGAAUGCUUGACAGAGCAGCUGUGGGCUGUGAAGGUGGACUAGCUGCCGUGAUGAUUGUUGGAAUGGCAGACUGUGGUUGCUGAGAAGUAGGGACCGAGACAGGAGGCUGCUCAUUGCUCUGUAUGGAUACUGCCUCCACAGACACUGUUACGGGAGCGGCCAUUGACACAUGAAUUUCUGGCUUAGGUUUAACACUACACAGAACACACAAAUAAAGAAGUUAGAAAGCCUCUUUCUUCAAGAUC